CGUAAGAGUAUCCAGUUGGUCUCAUAAAUAGUUGGUAAACCAAUUACUAAAUUACAAGUAUCAUCGAAGUCAAUAAUAAAUAAAUAUAAUAUUGGAGCAGUUUUGAAAACAAUAUUUUUAUACCACUUAUCAAAAUGGAGCUCAACUCUAUAAUGUUUCACCAAUCGGAUGUGAUUCUUUCAUCUAAUCUCCAACAUUAUUUGUCCUUCAUUUAUAUAUUUUUUUAUUUAUUCGAACACCUUUUUAAGAUGAAUUUUCCCAGUGACAACAAGGAAAAGUUCAGCAAAAUUAUUAAUUGGAGUUUAUUGUAAAAUUAAAUAUUUAAAUCAAAUCAUUUCCUAAAGGUCGUCUCAAAAAUAAAAGUAUUUAAUGGUAAGCAAUUACCGAUUUUGACAAAUC